UACGUAGGGGGCUAGCGUUGUCCGGAAUCAUUGGGCGUAAAGCGCGUGUAGGCGGCCCGGUAAGUCCGCUGUGAAAGUCGGGGGCUCAACCCUCGGAUGCCGGUGGAUACUGUCGGGCUAGAGUACGGAAGAGGCGAGUGGAAUUCCUGGUGUAGCGGUGAAAUGCGCAGAUAUCAGGAGGAACACCAAUUGCGAAGGCAGCUCGCUGGGACGUUACUGACGCUGAGACGCGAAAGCGUGGGGAGUAAACAGG
rnacentral:rRNA from 1 species